CGGUUGCUUGGAUCUUCCUUGGAAUAUUUUCCCUCAUAAGGUUUCAAGCUGAUUAUCUCCUUGUCGUUGGAGUCUGCUUGACUCUCAGCAUUGCCAAUAUUGUUGGCUUCACUAGAUGCCGUAAAGGUAACUUUGGUACCUUGAAAAAGAUUUUCUAUCUGAAAAUCAGAUGUGUUGUUUACUCUGUAUGCAUUUUCUGUACUUGUUUAAAAUAUGCUCCUGACACCUCCCUGUAUGCUUGUCUUUAAUUCUCAAGCUGAAAAGAAAUAGGAAUGAAAAGGAACUUUACUUGGAGAAAUUGUCACAAAUAUUCAUGUUGCUACCUCAGCAAGAAAACAUAAACUGAUUAAAAUUGUUUCAUUAGUGGUGUGUCGUGCUGCCCUGAAGUAAAUUAAUAUGAUUCAGUUACUUAUGGAGAAGUUCAAUUAUCUGUAUUUCGAAGACCGAUGCUAUCUGAAGAUAAUUAUAAUUUAAGUUCAUCUAACAAAGAGAAAUUGAUGGAUUAGAACAUAUUAGAAUUUUAGAAACUACUGUCCUUUCCCGGUUGACAUCAACGUAUACAGGUCUGUAAUUCUACUUGAGAUUAGGACAUUGUCGUUGCUGAACAGAUUUUAUGUUGUCCAAUAUGUAAUUGAUGUGACAGAGUCAAUGGUGUUUUCUCAAAGAUUUCAUAAUAUUCUCUGGUAGAUUGACGAGUGUUCAUGAAUCAAUUUCUUAAACUGAAAUUUGGCAAAUGAUGAUGGCAGGCAGUCUUUGCUAAACACCGUUUGACUGACUGUACGUGAAGUUGUGUCUCUAAACCAAUGAAUAGUUUGCUGCCUGCAUUUCUAUAUUCAUUCUGAAAUGUUUUGGCAUGAGCAUUACAUUUAUGGGAUUGUGAAUCUAUUGCUUUUAUAAUAAGAUCCAUGAUUUUGUAACUUAGUAAUCUUAAUAACCAGACACUUUGGCUGGAGCAUUUCAAGUGUUCUUCUCCCCAUUGGUUAGGUUAUGUAACUGGUAGCCAUGUAGCUCUGGGGUUUAAGAAAAUUUUCUGGUGUUUUGCACCAUUUUUUCCAAGUCAAUUUUUAAAGAUUCUACUGAGCUACUGACAUGCCUUUACAUGUUCCCUGCUAAAACCUGCAUGCCAACAUACGCACAUACACACACACAGAAAAUAUGUCGAUAAGCGUUUACCUUUUUCGCGGGAUCAUCAAAUGUGUUUCCUGUAUCUUUCAGAUGCCAGGAAGCAGCUUGAAGCGUUUGCCACCCAGACCCUGGCUUCUCGAGUAACAUCUACAAUACAGUCGGCAUUUAGUGUUGUUUGACUUGCUCGUCACUGACAGAGGAAUACAAUGCCUGAGAAGCCUUAACAGUUGGUCUUGUUGCAUCAUAGUGCAUUACUGUAUUAGAUAUCUGUUUCUUUCACACUUCUACAUAGAUAUGAGAGCACAUGAGAGAACUUACUAUUGCUUUUUGUUUUUGAAAGGCCU
rnacentral:lncRNA from 1 species